AGUGAACGCUGGCGGUAGGCCUAACACAUGCAAGUCGAACGGCAGCACAGUAAGAGCUUGCUCCUACGGGUGGCGAGUGGCGGACGGGUGAGGCAUACAUCGGAUUCUACUAUUUCGUGGGGGAUAACGUAGGGAAACUUACGCUACUACCGCAUACGAUCUACGGCUUAAAUCAGGGGUGCUUCGGACCUUGCCCGACUGUAUGAGCCGAUGUCGGAUUAGCUAGUUGGCGAGGUAAAGGCCCACCAAGGCGACGAUCCGUAGCUGGUCUGAGAGGAUGAUCAGCCACACUGGAACUGAGACACGGUCCAGACUCCUACGGGAGGCAGCAGUAGGGAAUAUUCGGCAAUGGGCGAAAGCCUGACGCAGCAAUGCCGCGUGAGUGAUGAAGGUCUUCGGAUUGUAAAACCCUUUUAUUAGGGAAGAAAAGCAGCGUAAGUAACCCCGCACGUUUUGACGGUACCCAAAGAGAAAGCCACGGCUAACUUCGUG
rnacentral:rRNA from 1 species